rnacentral:lncRNA from 15 species
AUCGUUUUGACAUCUGAUUAAAGUAUUUUAUUUAUUGGUUCCAUAUUUUACUUUCAUAUGAUCAUUUAUUUCGUCAUGCUUAUUUAUUGAACACUUUGGGGUUCCAUAUUUGUUUUGUUUAACCGGAAAAUCCUAAUCGAGAUUGAAAAAGAGUGUCCUGACCAAAAUAGACAGCAUUAACGACAAGGUAUGACAAAACAAAAAACAACAGAUGACAAAAUAUAUCAAAUCAGAAAUUAACAUUAAUGUGAUAACAAAAUAAUAAAUACAAUUUCCGAUACAAUCAUACAAAAUAUCUUCAUCCUAUGAGCAACCUAGAUUACACAUGUUCCAUAAACACUGUUCCAUAAACAUAAAUAAGACCAAACUUAAUGAAACUCUAUCAGGUUAACACAUCAAGAUUCUAAAAUACCCCAAAACAUCAGCAGCCAGAAGAGCACAUUUUCUGAAAAAGACCACAUUUUGCAAUUUUAGAUCCAAUUUCAGAAGGUCCCAGGCAGAGGGAGCAGCAUAUAUAAAAGCUAUUUUACCUAGUUCUGUAAUGGAGCUAUAAGUCUGAUCACCAAAUGGAGGUCAGACUACCUGACGUUUUCAUUUCCCUCUGGACUACCGAUGACAAUCUGGCCAUGAUGGGCCCCGAAUCCUUCUGCCAGAUGAACAGAAAGGUACAAUCAUAUUGAAUGAGAAAAAUCCAAAAAACGUACUAAAUUAUUAAAUUAGAAAAUCAAAAAUAUCCAGGAUUAGAUAAUUGGAAACAUUUUCAUGUGUCAAAGCAUUCACCUGGAUUAUUUGUUUGACAGAAAAUAGUGUUUAAACUAGCUCUUCUCAGAAAAGUAAUGGUUUUGCGACGUCAGAGCAGAAAGUUGAUUUGAUGCUGUUGAUGAAUGUGUUUUCAUGGCAAUAUUUCUGUAAUUCAAAUUUACAAAAAGAAAAAGUACAACAGAAAUAAAUACACUUUGUUCAGCACGCAAUUGUGGAAUUGUAUCAACAUCGUGCAGGAGCUAUGAAGUCACUGGGGGGCACAGAACCGAUGGGGUCUACCUGUUUGGGGUCAAGAUGACUCAUGACCUUUAACCUGCACCCUUAAGCUACAUAUCAAUAUAUCUAGAUGCUAAGAUACCUGCUCUCAUCCUCUGAGUGUGACUUCCCCACCCUCAGUGUAUUUGGGGUUGUUAUUUCUUUGACUGAGGACUUGACAAAUGGCCUGACAGGACCACUUUGACCACUUAGGUGUGUCACUGUGGGUUGCUGCAUCUAAGCUAGCUUAAAGAGUGAAAAGGGGGCUGUGGAGUGCUGCCGCGGCUGCAGGCUUUUAUUCUAUUUAAAACAACUGAUUCAUCUAAUCACGCUUUUGAUUGAACCAAUUUGCCAGGCUCAGGAGGUGGGAUAAUCAGCUCCGUCAAGUGGUUUAGUCGGCGCAGCACUCCAGAACCCUGAAAUAAGACAAAUCAAGAGAAUCAUCACUUUGAUUUUGACCAAUCAGCCGGAGCAGAACUUUGAAUUAGACCAAUCAGCAGAGACGAA